rnacentral:rRNA from 1 species
CCCUUAGAUGCUCUGGGCCGCACGCGCGCUACACUGACCAGUGCAACAAGCAUCCGUCCUUGGCCGACAGGCUCGGGCAAUCUUUGAACGCUGGUCGUGAUGGGGAUAGACUUUUGCAAUUUUUGGUCUUCAACGAGGAAUUCCUAGUAAACGCAAGUCAUCAACUUGCAUUGAUUACGUCCCUGCCCUUUGUACACACCGCCCGUCGCACCUACCGAUUGAAUGGUCCGGUGAAGCCUCCGGAUUGGCGCGCACCUCGGUGCCGCCGAGAAGUUGGCUAAACCUUACCAUUUAGAGGAAGGUGAAGUCGUANCA